UACGGAGGGUGCGAGCGUUAAUCGGAAUUACUGGGCGUAAAGCGCGCGUAGGCGGUGGCGUGAGUCGGAUGUGAAAGCCCCGGGCUCAACCUGGGAAUGGCAUUCGAUACCGCGUCGCUAGAGUUUGGGAGAGGGAAGGGGAAUUCCGGGUGUAGCGGUGAAAUGCGUAGAUAUCCGGAGGAACACCAGUGGCGAAGGCGCCUUCCUGGCCUAAGACUGACGCUGAGGUGCGAAAGCGUGGGGAGCAAAC
rnacentral:rRNA from 1 species